rnacentral:rRNA from 1 species
ACGGGUGAGUAACACGUAUCCAACCUGCCGUCUACUCUUGGCCAGCCUUCUGAAAGGAAGAUUAAUCCAGGAUGGCAUCAUGAGUUCACAUGUCCGCAUGAUUAAAGGUAUUUUCCGGUAGACGAUGGGGAUGCGUUCCAUUAGAUAGUAGGCGGGUAACGGCCCACCUAGUCAACGAUGGAUAGGGGUUCUGAGAGGAAGGUCCCCCACAUUGGAACUGAGACACGGUCCAA